CGGCAAUGGAACAGGAAUUACCCAACACCUCAUUGUGACAGGCUUCAAAACUUUGGGGUAGCUUAAGGUGGACUGUGUGCAUGGAGCUAUAAGGUGGUGGGAAUUGAAGAUUUGUAGUAUUCUGUGAAGGAAUAGGCUCUUCUGCUUGGUUGAUGAAGUAUGACCAGCCAUCUUAUAGUCCAGUUAUAUUGUCACUUGAUAGCAUGUCAUGGCGCGAUUGAAACUAACAUCAACGAGGCUGCCAGCAGAGGGAUCGCAAUAUAUAGCUUGACAUUCAGAACUGCGAUCGAAACACUGUCCAUGGAGCGUCAUGUUUCAGGCCAUUAUGAUUUAGGGUUGUGGGGGAGAACAAGUGUUUUUGGGCGAACCAAGUUUUCAUUGUUAGAAAGUUCGUCAUGUGUACGUGUUUUG
rnacentral:misc_RNA from 1 species